UGGGGAAUAUUGCACAAUGGGGGAAUCCCUGAUGCAGCGACGCCGCGUGAACGAAGAAGGUAUUCGUAUCGUAAAGUUCUGUCCUAUGGGAAGAUAAUGACAGUACCAUAGAAGAAAGCUCCGGCUAAAUACGUGCCAGCAGCCGCGGUAAUACGUAUGGAGCGAGCGUUGUCCGGAAUUAUUGGGGGUAAAGGGUACGCAGGCGGUUUAAUAAGUCGAAUGUUAAAGAUCGGGGCUCAACCCCGCAAAGCAUUGGAAACUGAUAAACUUGAGUAGUGGAGAGGAAAGUGGAAUUCCUAGUGUAGUGGUGAAAUACGUAGAUAUUAGGAGGAAUACCAGUAGCGAAGGCGACUUUCUGGACACAAACUGACGCUGAGGUACGAAAGCGUGGGGAGCAAACAGG
rnacentral:rRNA from 1 species